rnacentral:rRNA from 1 species
CAGUCGCCACGGUAAUACGUAGGUGGCAAGCGUUGUCCGGAAUUAUUGGGCGUAAAGGGCUCGCAGGCGGUUUCUUAAGUCUGAUGUGAAAGCCCCCGGCUCAACCGGGGAGGGUCAUUGGAAACUGGGAAACUUGAGUGCAGAAGAGGAGAGUGGAAUUCCACGUGUAGCGGUGAAAUGCGUAGAGAUGUGGAGGAACACCAGUGGCGAAGGCGACUCUCUGGUCUGUAACUGACGCUGAGGAGCGAAAGCGUGGGGAGCGAACAGGAUUAGAUACCCUGUAGUCCCUGUCUCUUGUACA